UACGUAGGGUGCAAGCGUUAAUCGGAAUUACUGGGCGUAAAGCGUGCGCAGGCGGUUUGUUAAGUCUGUUGUGAAAUCCCCGAGCUCAACUUGGGAAUUGCAAUGGAUACUGGCAGGCUGGAGUGUGGUAGAGGAAGGUGGAAUUCCCGGUGUAGCAGUGAAAUGCGUAGAGAUCGGGAGGAACACCAGUGGCGAAGGCGGCCUUCUGGACCAAUACUGACGCUCAUGCACGAAAGCGUGGGGAGCAAACAGG
rnacentral:rRNA from 1 species